rnacentral:lncRNA from 1 species
UGUGAGGUGCAUAGGAGGAUCAAGUCAGAACAUUUUGCAGAUGAACGCACACUACAAUGAGGUGUCCCCACUGGUGGAGUCCUGGAGAAUCUCAAACAUGCUCCACAAGAGAGACAUCUGUGACUUAGAGGGAGUUCAUGGGAGCUCCCCAAACCAGCUAUGGCUAGCAACGUUCUAAUUCUGCUGAGGCACUGUGAAGUCAGGUAGGCCAAGUACUUAUUUUCAGCAAUACCCUUUCUGCACAGGAU